AACCAAUGGCCCCCUGAACGCGCAUUGCACUCUUGGGACUUCCUGAGAGUAUGUUUGCUUCAGUGCU
rnacentral:rRNA from 4 species